GGGCUUGUAGCUCAGUGGUAGAGCACUUGCCUCGUGUGUGUGAGGCUCUGGGUUCAAUCCUCAGCACCA
rfam:Ictidomys tridecemlineatus contig008435, whole genome shotgun sequence.